UAUCCGGAAGGUAUUGUGUCUUUCUGAACGAAGCCCCUGCACCUCGAAUCUCGAUUAGGUGACAGUGUUACCUUAGUAAUCCUGAACCACUUAGACCAAUCGUGAAUAGAAUUUGCUACUAUUUCCCCAGCUGGGAUCUUCUUUGCAGAUUUAUCUCUAGCUGCCUGGGGGGUCCUCAAGUCCAAGAGCAGAGUCCAGGGGAUGAGAAGAGAAGAGCAAUCUCUCCCCCAACUUCCCCGAUCAUCACUGGAGCAAAGAUAAACAUCAACAGGACCAACGUGAAGUUGAUUUCAUGCUGCAGGCAAACAGUAGCUAAAAAUCUCUCCUGAAUUAUACCGUGGCUGAAGAAACUUUUCUCCUAGAGAGUCUGUGAAAUGAGAAAUGCCCAAGUGACAGAAGCCGAUCAGUUUUGAAAAUGAAGCAGCGUUGAGAUCGUCGACAACAAUAUUGAGUCGAACUCGUACCUACCCUGUGUCCAACCUGAUUACGUCGUGUCCACCCCAGAACGCAGAACGGUAUUGACACAGAAAGGGAACAGGCUUUCAGAGGCGAAUGAAAAGUACCGUGCUCAUUGCCACAACUGAAAUCUCCACUCCAGCCAAUGUCUUCACUUUGAUGAGAUUACUUUAAUCACCCUCAAUGAACAUCCAGCGAGGGUCCUAGCAGAGGCGGUGGUUCCUGAGCUGAGAGCUUCUUAAAGAGGUGCGAGGCCGACGGUAUUUGGUGUUCUUCAUCCGUGUUAAUGCCAUGCUAACGGAGAAUCCCCGUUUGCCCUGAAGACACAUGACCAAAGGAGAAGAUGGAGGAAGCAGAUGAUUUACACAGUCAAAUGCAGAGAACUCUCUGACCCAAAGUCAAAGGCUCACUUUGCUGUCAUUAUCCUGACAAAUUGAACAUCGUCAGUUCCAAUUGCCCUACACGUCACUCACUCCGUAGCUCUUCACCUUCACCUAAGAGGUCUUCACAGCUUUCACGGCUCUUGGGGUUUCUUUUGCUAACCGCCCUCGCUCCCUUCGCUCAUCUGGCUCUCACUGGCUCCUCAUCUUUUAACCAUGGUGUUUGUUAAGCUCCUUCCGCGUGCUAAGCCCCGGAGCUGAAGAUUUGGGGCUCACCAUCUAAGAGGGAGAGAGUAUCUUAUCCCCAUUAUACAGAUGAGGAAAUU